rnacentral:rRNA from 1 species
CCCAGACUCCUACGGGAGGCAGCAGUGGGGGAUAUUGCACAAUGGGGGGAACCCUGAUGCAGCGACGCCGCGUGGGUGAAGGAGCGUUUCGGCGCGUAAAGCCCUAUCGGCAGGGAAGAAGGAGGACGGUACCUGACUAAGAAGCCCCGGCUAACUACGUGCCAGCAGCCGCGGUAAUACGUAGGGGGCAAGCGUUAUCCGGAUUUACUGGGUGUAAAGGGGGCGCAGACGGCAGCGCAAGCCAGGAGUGAAAGCCCGGGGCCCAACCCCGGGACUGCUCUUGGAACUGCGCGGCUGGAGUGCAGGAGGGGCAGGCGGAAUUCCUGGUGUAGCGGUGAAAUGCGUAGAUAUCAGGAGGAACACCGGUGGCGAAGGCGGCCUGCUGGACUGCGACUGACGUUGAGGCCCGAAAGCGUGGGGAGCAAACAGGAUUAGAUACCCGGGUACG